rnacentral:tRNA from 2 species
UGGUGCAUCGUCCAAUGGCUAGGACUCGGGUUUUUGGUGCCCGCAAUAGGGGUUCGAAUCCCUUUGCACCAGCCA